UAACUGAAGAGUUUGAUCAUGGCUCAGAUUGAACGCUGGCGGCAGGCUUAACACAUGCAAGUCGAGCGGGGGAAGGUAGCUUGCUA
rnacentral:rRNA from 1 species